GGUAAGGUGGCUCAGUGGUAGAAUGCUUGCCUUGCAUGCAUGAGGCUCUGAGUUCAAUUCCUCAGCACCA
rnacentral:tRNA from 1 species